ACCUUCUCACUGACUUUGACUGUUAUCAAAUCAGUUUCCUUUUGGACUUCGACGAGUAAAGAUCGGAGCUGUCUCUUUCCAAACAGAACGUCAUUGCAAUCACAUACGAAGCAUUGAUAUAAUCGAUUGUUUGUAUUGCUAAAAUAAAAAUAAGGCGAAGUAGAGGCAGUGUUUGUUCAUUCACGUUUCGCGAUUUAAACAACAAGUGUUUUUGCAUCGACUGCGUGCAAUGCAGUCGUUAGAGUCAGUGAUCGUUCGUAAAGUUUUAUGCUUUUUUAACAAUCGUACAGACUGUAUUUAUAAAAGACAAUAGUGUUUCGGAAAUAAACUUCAGUGACCGUCCGUUAAAAAAUAACUAUUGCGUAUUAGAGUCAGUGUAUCAUUUAAGAGGAUCUCAAUCUAUAGCGAUGUCGGUCUACCUCAUUUUCAACCACCUACGAAUCAUCCACCCUCAAUUUCGAUCUAAAUCGCGGUAGAGUGUUUUGGAACUAUCGCAGAACUUCUUAAAUACAAAAUACCGUUCACUGGGUUCCCACAAGUUAACGGGAAAAUGCAAUUUCUUUCAUGGAUCCUGGAGAGCUCGUGAAGAAGAUGCGUGAUAAAAGCACAUACGAUAAUUGGUGACUUCGACAGAUUUUUAAAUAAGAAAGCAUAAUUUCUCUAUACUUCAUUUACUGUUGUGAAAAAUGUCGAGGAAUUCAAAAAGCACGUCCUAGUCCGCGAGUGGUAGCACGACCGAACCUACUUCUAUCUGUGGAAUAUGUAAUAUGGUUGAAAAAGCAUACUUGAACUAUAUACUCGAAAAGAUGUAAGUUGAAAAGAUGUAAAUAUGUGGUUCCAGCAAUUCAAAGGACAAUUUAUUUUAUAUCGAGUGACUCGUGAUUUGCGACGAAAUUUUGGUACGUGGUGACGCAAUUAGAUUAAAAAUAUGCGAAGGUAGGUGAGCGAUUUUAUAAUGUAUUAUCUGACUGAGGGGAAUCGUCGAAAAAUUAAAGAUUGACCUGACACAUCGUUUCUCUACCUCGGAAGACCGGAAUAUUCGUCGACUACUGGAACAUGAGGAAAUGGAAAAUCAAUGUUCAUCACAAUUCCUAUGACAUCUUCAGUAGAUGACGACAAUGUCCCGGAAAGAAUUCUACGAGCUUUGUGAAUUUCAAGGUUAUCGAGGUUUAUGCAAGCAAUUCGUGAUACGCAAUCGGAUGUCAAUCUAUCGAAAGUAUCUGAGAGCUGGUCAUGAAACUUCUAUCCGGCAGGUUUCUCAAGUUCGAAUAAA